CAAACUAUUUAUAAAAUAGAGAAUCGCAUAACAUAUUCUUUGAACACUACAACAAACAUGGCCUUCCAUGACUUUUAUAAAACAUGCUAUGAAAUAUAAAAGGGAAAAAAAGGCGCUGAAGACUAAAAAGAAAAAAAUUGGUUCGAUACCAAAAAUUCGGAAAAUGAAGCUCGCCUUCAAAACCCUUCCUUUUAUUUUGUUUUUUUCCUUUUCUUCUCGCCUGCCCUCCUCAUUGCCCCUCAAAUAAAAAAUUGGUCUCUUUUCUCCUUUCCUUUUGCCCACAAAUUUCUCAUCAAUAGUCUAAAUUUAGUCUUCCAUUUUCGCCAGCUCCCUUGUUUUCUUCCUCCUCUUUCUUCCAUUCUGAAUCAACUUUACAUUAGGAAGGAUUUUUUUUUUUCAGUCUUCAAGUUAUGAGAUACACAUGAAAGAGAAUGAGAUCAGGAAAGUGCCUUUUUAUUGGGUAAUCACUACCAUGCAUACUUCGUAUUUGCCGAUGAUGCUGGUCUUCUCAAAGGUGCUUUUUGACGAUUUGGAAAAAUUAGGCACAAAUUCAGGCAUAGGAUUGCAGAGAUAUCACCAGAAGAAGAAAAUGAUCUCACUCCAUCACCGCAAUCCACAAAAGCAAGGAUCACCGCAAGGAUGGAUGCAUCAAUACACAAUGUGGGCGACAACGCAAAAUUUGGG